GACGAACGCUGGCGGCGUGCUUAACACAUGCAAGUCGAACGGAAAGGCCCUGCUUGCAGGGUGCUCGAGUGGCGAACGGGUGAGUAACACGUGGGUGAUCUGCCCCUUACUUUGGGAUAAGCCUGGGAAACUGGGUCUAAUACUGGAUAGGACCAUGCUGUAGGUGGUGUGGUGGAAAGAUUAGUUUCGGUAAGGGAUGAGCUCGCGGCCUAUCAGCUUGUUGGUGGGGUAAUGGCCUACCAAGGCGUCGACGGGUAGCCGGCCUGAGAGGGUGGACGGCCACAUUGGGACUGAGACACGGCCCAGACUCCUACGGGAGGCAGCAGUGGGGAAUAUUGCACAAUGGGCGCAAGCCUGAUGCAGCGACGCCGCGUGGGGGAUGACGGCCUUCGGGUUGUGAACUCCGUUCAGCCAUGACGAAGCCCUUGUGGUGACGGUAGUGGUAGAAGAAGCACCGGCUAACUACGUG
rnacentral:rRNA from 1 species